rnacentral:rRNA from 1 species
CGUAGGGUGCGAGCGUUAAUCGGAAUUACUGGGCGUGAAGCGUGCGCAGGCGGUUAUAUAAGACAGUUGUGAAAUCCCCGGGCCAACCUGGGAAUUGCAUCUGUGACUGUAUAGCUAGAGUACGGUAGAGGGGGAUGGAAUUCCGCGUGUAGCAGUGAAAUGCGUAGAUAUGCGGAGGAACACCGAUGGCGAAGGCAAUCCCCUGGACCUGUACUGACGCUCAUGCACGAAAGCGUGGGGAGCAAACAGGAUUAGAUACCCUGGUAGUCCACGCCCUAAACGAUGUCAACUGGUUGUUGGGUGCAUUAGUACUCAGUAACGAAGCUAACGCGUGAAGUUGACCGCCUGGGGAGUACGGCCGCAAGGUUG